AAACUUUUUUUUUUUUUCCCUUUUUAUUUAGACAUAAAUAGCAUACUAUUCAUUUCGUUUAUUUUAUUUAAAAAUAAAUUUAGCUGGAAAUAUGAAUCAACUAGGAUUCGAACUUGAAAUCUCGGGUAUCAACCACCAAGCUUUUUGCCACUUGCAUUAGGGACGGUGAGUUUUGUUCCACCAAAACUGAAUUCUGAGUUGAAGUAGACUUUAGAUUGAAGUAAAAUUCCGUAAAAAUUAUUUUUUUACUAUUUGUUUCGUAGCUAUAAAAAUAAAGUUCUUUCAGCUUUAUUGUUUGUUUGACAGAAAGUAAGUAAUAUAAACUAUACUUUAUAUAUAAAUAAUAAAUAACUUAAUAAAUAAUAAAUUAUAAUAUAAUAAAUAAAAAUANUAUAUAUAUAUAUAACUAUGCUACUAUGUUAUUAAUAGCACCAAGUCAUUGGUGCUACCAAGUUUUUGGCCAUUGAAUUAAGAGAUGUGUGGUUAGAAUGAUAUGGACCCCCUAGAGUUGAGUGGGUGGUUGAUUGAAUAGUAUGAUCUAACGGGUGAAAAUGAUCAAAAGGGUAAAUCUAAAGGUGGAAAACUUGACAGCACCAAGUGCUUCGUACUAUUAAUAGCAUAGUAGCCGGACUCAUAUAUAUAUAUAUACUUAACGUACUAAUCAAUUUUCAUCAUAUUUUAAAUGUAUAAACUAAAUGAAGAAAAUAAUAAAAUUUAAUUAAUUAAAUUUUAUCAUAUUUUAAAUAUACAAAAGAGUAAUUAGUAUCAUAAUUAAAUAUAUUUAAAUAUAACUAGCAUUACUCAUUAUAUUAUUUUAUUAUUUUUUUUUUCACUUUCUUUCAUCGUAAUUGACUUUGACUUGGGGUGGCCUGAAGUCGAUUAAGCUGUUUUGAUUAACUCGAGUUUCAACCGUAUUUAUAUUAUGGUGAAAUAAACAACGAAAGUUAUCAUUUACGGCCGAAAACCGAUUUCACCCCUCCCAACUUUCACCCAAACAAAUUUAUGUUUAAGAAUAAUGCUACACACACCCUCCUUUUGGAGUGUAAAAUUUACACCUUAUUUAUUUUAUAAUCUCACACUCAUUUAAUUGGCUGAUCAUAAAAUUUACACAUUUUGUUAGAAUAUAUUGAUAGCAAAUAAAUCAAUUAAGAUUUAAGACAUAAUAUAACUAAUAGAAUUAUUAAAUUAAUAUAAUUUUUAACUUCACUAUAUAUAAAUACUCAAAAAAAUAAUUAAGAAUUUUUUUUUCAAAAUGAUUUACUAAAUAGUUAUUAUC
rnacentral:lncRNA from 1 species